GACGAUAAGCACAACAACAAAACACAGCUAGCUGCAGAAUAGGGUGUUAGCUUGCUAGCUACUUGAAAUAAACAUUAGCUGGUGUUACACAACCCAUGGCGAAGAAAAUAGAUCAGUGACAAGCGAAGUGAGAAACCAUAAAAAUGUGUACAUAGCAAUAUGAAUCGACCGUAAAAACUAAGAUUGAGUCAGCUACAUUAAAGACUAGAUAAUCAUACCUCAUAGCUAACUAACAACAUUUUCGGCUAGUUUUCUAAAACUAGCUAGCGUUAGCGUUAUGCCAUUCAAGCUAAACCAAGUUAGCCAGCUAGCUCGCCAAGGCGGGGGAAAGGAUUGGAGUAAACAACAACGGGUGGUGUUGAAUGACUAAAUGAUCAAGAUAAAGGAGUGUGACGAUUGCUGGAGGAUUCGACAUGAAGUUGUAUGUGUUCCAGGUCAACAAUGGAAGCACUCUGGCAUUUGACACAGAGCUCGCUGUCCAAACAGUGUUGGACCUCAAACAUGCCAUCCAGGUCAAAUACAAGAUUGCAACCCAGCAUCAAGUUCUGGUUGUCAAUGGAGGGGAGUGUAUGGUUGCAGAGAGGAGAGUCUGCAGCUACAGUGCCGGCACUGACACCAACCCCAUAUUCCUGUUCAACAAAGAGAUGAUUUUGUGUGACCGGGCUCCGACGAUCCCUAAAACUACCUUCUCUAUUGAGAAUGAGAUGGAGCUCAAGGUGGAGGAGUCACUAAUGAUGCCAGCAGUCUUUCACACCGUUGCCUCACGAACACAACUUGCUGUGGAAAUGUUUGAAGUCGCCAAGAAACUUUGCUCUUUCUGCGAACGCCUGGUUCAUGAUGAACACCUCCAACACCAAGGUUGGGCUGCUAUCAUGGCAAACCUGGAUGACUGCACCCUGUCUUAUCAGAAGCUACUGUGGAAAUUUGACACGGCGUACAUUAAUUAUCAACAAGAAUUUGAGGAUAUCAAAUUGAAACUGACAAAACUGGGGACAGCAGUUUCAGUCAUGGCCAAUAUCCCCCUGCUGGAGUGUCUGACCCGCCACAGCUACAAAGAAUGCAUGGAGAAGUCCUGCUCCACUCCAAACAAGGACUCUGACGAUACCGAGGAGGAGAAGUCCACCGACUCGGUGCUCUGCCCCUCCCCCACCAAGCUACCUGCAUCGUUCUCUGCUCCGGGGAUGGCGGACUCGCCAGACACCGCCGAAGCCCUGGAAAGCAGUGAGAUGACGGACAGUAGUGGGCUGAGGGCAGCCCUGCAAGAGGCAGACUCUCCAGAGAGGGCCAACCCCCUGUCCUUCAACGUCACACUGCUGGACUGGAUUAAUGUUCAAGACCGGCCCAAUGACGUGGAAUCAGUCGUGAGGAAAUGCUUUGACUCCAUCAAUAGGCUCGACCCACGGGUCAUUCAACCAUUCUUAGCGGAAUGUCGAGACACGAUUGCCAAACUGGAUAAUCAGAACAUGAAAGCCAUCAAAGGACUUGAGGACAGGUUAUACGCUCUAGACCAAAUGAUAGCGAGCUGUAAAAAGUUGGUCAAUGAACAGAAGGAACUUGCUCAGGGCUUUCUGGCCAAUCAGAAGCGUGCUGAGAACCUGAAGGAUACGUCCGUGCUGCCUGACCUGUGUCUCAGUCACGCCAAUCAGCUGAUGAUCAUGCUGACCAACCACAGGAAGCUUCUGGACAUCAAACAGAAGUGCACCACUGCCAAACAGGAGCUGGCGAACAACCUACAAGUUCGUCUCAAAUGGUGCUGCUACGUGAUGCUGCACGCGGACCAGGAUGGGGAGAAGCUGCAAGCCCUGCUGAGGCUGUUGACCGAGCUGAUGGAGAGAGUCCGGGUGGUGGACGCCCUCAGCACCGUGCCUCAGAUGUACUGCCUGGCCGUGGUGGAGGUGGUUCGCAGGAAGCUCUUCAUCGGCCACUACAGAGAGUGGGCCUGUGCUCUCGUGAAGGAUGGAAAGCAUCUCUAUGAGACCGAGAAGUAUAAAAGGGAAACGUUUGGCAAGUUGUUCAGGAAAUGUUUUCUCCGAAAUCGGUUGUUUAGAGGACUUGACUCGUGGCCGCCCACUUCAUUUUGCACAAGAAAGCCCAGAAAGUUUGACUUUGAGCUUCCCGAUAUUUCCCUUGGUGACCUGCAGUACUUAAAGACCUGUUGUCCUACAGAGGUGCAGCCUUUCCUCAGGGUUCCAACACUGUGUGAUUUUGAGCCUUUGCAUCUGCAUGUGGAGAUGCUUCAACAGUUGGUCCUUGCUUCUCAAGCUGCAAGUGUGGAUGAGAUGUCUCAAACUAUCACCGAUUUACUCAGCGAACAACGGGGGUCGUGCAGCCAGAGUGCUCAGAGAUCCACGGCAGCGGUGACCCCACAGUCUGACAGCACCCCAGGGACUUCCUCCCCCAAGACCCCCUCCUCUCUCAGUCUCCCGGGGCCCCCCUGCCAGCCCCUCCCUGGCCCCACCGCCCUGGAGGACCUGUCCCCGGACAGCAUCGAUGCCCAAACCUUUGACUUCGAGACAAUUGGCCACCCCAACAUGGACCCCGUCCUGCAGCAAGCCGGCUCCCUGGACCUGGACUCCCUGGCUGAGAGCCCCGAGUCAGACUUCUUGUCGGCGGUCAACGAGUUUGUGAUCGAAAACUCGCCCACCCCCAUCAGCGACCCCACCAGCCCAGAGAUGAUGGUGGAGUCGCUGUACUCGUCGGUCAUCAACGCCAUUGACAGCAAGCGCAUGCAUGACACCACCACAUUAGAGAGGGAAAACUCCAAGUUGGCUAUGCUGAAUCUGAGCAUUGAGAAUUACCGCUCUGCUGCCGAGGAGUCCCAGGCCAACUUGCGGAGCGUCAAGGAUGACCUGUAUCGCUUCAGAGGCCUGGUGCUGAAGGAGCAGCGAGACUUUGGCUUCGCCCUGAAGACCAUGACCAUUGAGGUGCGCAACAUGGUGGACACCAUCCGUAAGAGGGAGGAGGAGGAGCUGAGGGAGCAGCACCAGGCCGAGCUCCUCUCUGUGCAGCAGGACCACGAGAAGCAACUUCAGACCCUGACGGAGGAGAACCGGGUCAACCGGAACAUCGUGAAAGACGUGCAGCGGGCCAUGCUGGAGCUGGAGGGGCUGCUGGAGCGCAAGGAGAAGGAGCUGACCCAGCUCGAGACUGAGAGGCAGUGCUGGACCGAGGCGGAGAGCGGACACACUCAGAGCCUCAGUGUCCUGGAGCAGAAAAUCAGCGAUCAGGCCCAAGAUGUGCUGACUGUGGCUGCCUCCAGAGACUCCCUGUACAGCCAGUUGGAGACACUCCACAUUGAGAUCGAGCGCGGCCAGCAGAAGAUCCGCCAGGAGCUGGAGGGGGCCGAGCAGGUCCACCUUCAGGAACUGGAGGAGAGGAUGAGGCAGCAGCACCAGACCCAGCUAGACACCCUGGCCCGGGAGAACCAGGAGGCCAUGGAGUGCCUGGCAACGGUGAACAGGGUCAAGCUGAGUGAGGUCGCAGACCGCCACGCCGCCUCUCUGACAGAGCGGGACGGCCAGCUGAGGGACCUGGAGUCCCGGGCAACUGAGCUGGCUGACCUACGCUGCAAGCUGGAGGUGGAGCUGGCCCUGAAGGAGUCAGAGAUGGAGGUUGUGAGGCUUCUCUACGAGGAGGCCAAGCAGGGGCAGCAGGAAGCCAACGUGAGGAAGGCUACUGUAGAGGCAGAGACCCAGUCCCUCAACGAACAGCUAGUUCAGGUCAACGGGCAGCUGCAUGCUAAGAACGAAGAGUACGAGAAGGGCUUGGCCGAGCUCCGGACGCUGAUGCUCAUGGAGAAAGACCAGUGCAUCUCGGAGCUGGUGGGCAGGCACGAGGAAGAGCGGAACCAGCGCCGCAGCGAGCUGACCGCCUUGCAGCAGCAGGCCCAGGACGCAGGAAGGAGCCAUGCAGAACAGCUGCAGAACCUCCAACUAGACCUCGACCUGCAGACGGCAGCACUGCGCAACGAUAUGGAAGUGCAGCAGAGGAGUUUUGAGGAGCAGGAGCAACACUUGAGGACUGUUAUCUGCGAUUUGCAGACAGAAAAUGAUCUGCUCACCAAAAGAUUAGAGCAGGACACCCAAGCAGCCCAGGAACGUUUGGAGAAAGAGGAGUCCUUGAAGGCUGCAGUACCAGAUGCCUUCAAAGACUUUGAGCAACAAAAGGAGGAGAUGGAGAAAAGACUUCUAGACAAAAUUAGACAACUUGAAAAUGAGCUUCGGGAAAGACAAUCCUCAGAAAGAGAGGCGGGGUUGUCAAAGGUGCAGACAGAGGGUCGGGGAUCCGAAGCAGGAGCUCCUCUCUCCCUGGACUCUGCCUUGCAGGAGCGUCUGCAGCAGGAGACGGCCUCCCUGCACACCCAGCUGGAGCUCCUGGAGAAGAGGAAGGACGAGGAGAUGCAGAACCUCAAGACCUCACUCAUCGCAGAACAACAGACUAACUUCAACACUGUUCUGAUGAGAGAGAAGCUGAAAAAGGAACAGAUCAUCAGUGAGCUCACAGAGGAGCUGCGGAAGGUUACCCAGCAGCAGGAGAAGGACAAAGGUCUGAUAGAGAUGCUCUCUGAGGACCGGGCCAUCGUCAUGCAGGAGAAGAAGCAGUUAGAGGAGGAUCUGAACCGGCUGCGCAGCACAGCCCUGGUGUCCUCUGCCUACUACAGCCCUAACCCCUUAGCUCUAGAGCCCACUGGAGCCGGGGCUAGACUUGGAUCUGGAGCAUGUCCUGGACCUGGGACUGAGGUUGGGGCUGGAGCCUGCUCUUCGGAGCUCUUCCCUGACCCAGACAGACUGGCCUCUGUGGCUGCCACCAGAGAGGACGACAGAGUGGACUCUGCUGUGGAGGCCAGCAUGGUGACUGUGCAGUAAGCAUCCCCCAAACACAAACAGUCCAAUAAACAGUGAUUCAGAAGAACCCCCCCAUCACAGUUAAUCUGUCGUUUUAUAGAAAUAAGCUUUGACAGAUAUACUUCGGCAAAAUAUUGUUUAAACAUAUAUAUAUAUAUAGUAUGGAGACAUAUUUGGUGGUAGUGAGGACAGUGAGGACUUUGAAGGUGCUCCUUAUUGGAUAAUGAAGAUAAAUUAUGAAUAUAAGUUGUCAUCUUUCAAAGAAUGUUGUCAGUUUUAAUGUGUAAAAGAUUAAAAAAGGAUGUUGAAAGUGCUUGUUUGAGAUGGCCAGACAAGGAUGGACAAAGUGAGGACAAAUAACAGAGAGCGAGGGAGGCUAGGAUUGGGAAAUCGAUAACAUCCUGAUGAUGUCGGAGGAGAAACAGCGGAUACUGUUACUUGAGAGGACUUUACACAUGAAGGAAGAAGAAAACAAGCGCCUCAGUCAAAGACUGAUGUCUCAAAGCAUGUCCUCGGUGUCGUCACGGCAUUCUGAGAAAAUUGCCAUCCGAGAUUUCCAGGUUGGCGACUUGGUUCUGAUCAUCCUCGAUGAAAGGCAUGACAACUAUGUGCUUUUCACCGUGGGUCCCACCCUGUACUUCCUCCACUCUGAGUCCCUCACGGCCCUGGAUCUCAAACCAGAUCCUAUGUUUACUUCAGCAUCAGGAGCCUCAAGACGGCCGUGGGUUCUCGGAAAAGUUAUGGAGAAAGAAUAUUGCCAGGCGAAAAAGGCUCAAAACCGGUUCAAAGUUCCUUUGGGCACCAAGUUCUACAGGGUGAAAGCUGUUCCGUGGAACAAGAAAGUAUAGUACAGCCACGUUAUGAGCUGAAAUGUAUAUUUAUAUUGCAUAAAGUUUUAAACACUCACAUCAUACAUCAUUUAUAGAUCUCUUAUCAACUUGAAAAUGAAAAGAAAGAUCAUGGUAUUAUUUUGGCCUUCAGUUCAACAUCUCAUCAACCCCGUCUUUCUUUUUAAACUAGAGUAUUUGUUGUUGUGGACCAAAUGCUAUUUCUUUAUUAGGGCAUGGCCCUAAACACUGGCAGAAAGCAUUAAUACCCGUGUGUUAAUUUGAACAAAAACUAUUUGAAUGUUUAUAUAUUUAGUUCUCAUUCAUUAUCAGCAUUUGUCCUCUUUGUGGAAAAUAGUUCAUCAUUAUCAGCAAUAGAAUUCAAAUGAAAAUAUACAUUUAUUGUAAAUGUUUAUGGAUGAAUGUUCAUGGCAUGCAUAUUGAUAUAUUUUCUUUGGUUUUACUUAUCCAGGUAAAUGUUAUAGUUGGAAGUGUAGUCAAUGCCGUUUGUUACUCACGACGCAGUAUGGCCCUCAGUUAAUACUGAAAUGUACAUUUUGGCUGACUGACGCAAGCAGUCAUCAUUGCAAUCAUUGACGAUGCACUUUCCAAAAACAAUGCUUUUUGUUCAUUCAAAAGGGAAGGAAUUGUGCUAUUAAAUCAAAUAAAUACAGAAAAAACUAACAGCUCAAAACUUCCCGCUGUCAUAGAAUAUUGAUAUGUAGAAAGGAAUACUUGUUUGACUGUGUUUCAUGAUUGGAUGACAUUGUACAUUACCCAUCAUUCAAAUCACGGAAGUAACAAUAAAGGACUGUAUUGUAAAAUAAUUUAGAGUUUUGAAACAAUAAAGGAUUGAUCCCAAAUAACUUUACUGCA